rnacentral:lncRNA from 1 species
UAAUUGAAAUGUAUAAUAACCACUCUCUUUCAUUUAUUUGUUUAUAAUCAAUCAAUUACAACAAAAAUGCAAGUAUGCUGCUAGAUUAGAAAAUCACACUGUUUUGGUAUUUUUCAUAUUUAACAAGACCAAAGAGCACAAAAAUGAAUUGAGUUGAUUCAGAAAAAAAAUAUGAAUGUGAAUACAUGAGUGAACACUAGCUGAAGUGCUACUCGAAAGGAAACUUCAUC